UACGGGGGUGCAGCGUUGUUCGGAAUUAUUGGGCGUAAAGCGCGUGUAGGCGGUUUGAUUAGUCUGAUGUGAAAGACCCUGGGCUCAACCCGAGGAAGUGCAUUGGAAACUGUCAGACUUGAAUACGGGAGAGGGUAGUGGAAUUCCUAGUGUAGGAGUGAAAUCCGUAGAUAUUAGGAGGAACACCCGGUGGCGAAAGGCGGCUACCUGGACCGAUAUUGACGCUGAGACGCG
rnacentral:rRNA from 1 species